ACUGUCUAGAUGACUAAUCAUCUAGUAAAGGUUGUUUUGGAAACUCUAUGGCCUUUGUAAAUUGUGAAGUAUGAUAGCAGAGAUAUGGAUGUCUGUAAACCUGCAGUUUGUUUUAGAUUUGCUCGAAUUGCUCUCACCAUAUCUAUCCAUUAGCUGGGUUUGGACACAGGGAUGGUAAAACUAACUCCUGAUUGAAUCCGAGACGACCUUCGGAAGGAAACCAGAUACCGUUCUGAGGAAGAAUACCAAAUAGGAAAUGUAUACCAAACCUUGUGGUAUGCUUUUGUGUUGGAAGGUUUUUGAGUCUGGAGAGGUUACACUGAUAGAUAGUGGCAAUCGCCUGUCUGAUGGCUUGAACUGGAUGUCUGUUCUUAAGGAAACCCAUUUGAUUGGAGUUAUAGGUGCAUCCAGGAUUUCCCUAUCUCGGACAGUGAGUUUGUUCAAAUGGGCUUCCUGAAGAAAUCGGAGACCGGUCUCAGGAGAAUCAGGAACUCUUUCGUAAAGUGUCUUAAAAUGUGUUGUCAUCAAUGUGACGAUGUCCGAUGUGUCACGCGCCCACCCCGUGGGCGUUUUAAGUUUUUGAAUAAAGGUGUUACUUUGUUGUCGUUUAACUAUAUUUGCUAACAGUUUCCCUGAUUUGUUUCCCCAUCGAUAAUAUCUGUUUGCCGUGUGACUUAGUUUAUGUUGCAUUUGUUCUGUCAAUAAAGUGUUGAAAAGAG